GCCGACGUACACUUCGUCGUGGGGCCCCCGGGGGCGACCAGGACGGUGCCUGCCCACAAGGUGGGUAGCGGCGGCCCCUCUCGGAACGCGUGCCCCGCCCGCCGUGUGGCUGACCCGCAGCCUGCGGGAGAGCCAGGCUCAUGGCGGCGCUUUCUCCUCCCAGUACGUCCUGGCUGUCGGCAGCUCGGUCUUCUAUGCCAUGUUCUACGGAGACCUGGCGGAAGUCAAAUCUGAAAUUCACAUUCCAGACGUGGAGCCCGCAGCCUUUCUGAUCCUGUUAAAGUACAUGUACAGUGAUGAGAUCGAUCUGGAAGCUGACACGGUGCUGGCCACUCUGUACGCUGCUAAGAAGUACAUUGUCCCAGCAUUGGCAAAAGCCUGUGUCAACUUUCUGGAGACAAGUUUGGAAGCCAAGAACGCCUGCGUCCUGCUGUCCCAGAGCCGGCUGUUUGAGGAGCCCGAGCUGACGCAGCGCUGCUGGGAGGUCAUUGAUGCACAGGCCGAGAUGGCCCUACGGUCCGAAGGCUUCUGUGAGAUAGACCGGCAGACGCUGGAGAUCAUUGUCACUAGGGAGGCCCUCAACACCAAGGAGGCGGUGGUCUUCGAGGCUGUCCUGAACUGGGCCGAGGCGGAGUGCAAGAGGCAGGGCCUGCCAGUCACCCCACGAAACAAGAGGCAUGUUUUGGGGCGAGCCCUUUAUCUGGUCCGAAUUCCAACCAUGACCCUGGAGGAGUUUGCCAACGGCGCUGCCCAGUCAGACAUCCUGACUCUGGAGGAGACCCACAGCAUCUUCCUGUGGUACACGGCCACCAACAAGCCCCGUCUGGACUUCCCCCUGACCAAGAGGAAGGGCCUCGCCCCGCAGAGGUGCCACCGAUUCCAGUCUUCUGCCUACCGCAGCAACCAGUGGCGGUACCGCGGGCGCUGCGACAGCAUCCA
rnacentral:sRNA from 1 species